UACGUAGGGACCAAGCGUUGUUCGGAUUUACUGGGCGUAAAGGGCGCGUAGGCGGCUUGUCAAGUCAAUUGUGAAAUCUCCGGGCUUAACUCGGAACGGUCAAUUGAUACUGAUGUGCUAGAGUGCAGAAGGGGCAAUCGGAAUUCUUGGUGUAGCGGUGAAAUGCGUAGAUAUCAAGAGGAACACCUGAGGUGAAGACGGGUUGCUGGGCUGACACUGACGCUGAGGCGCGAAAGCUAGGGUAGCAAACGGG
rnacentral:rRNA from 1 species